rnacentral:rRNA from 1 species
AUCCCCCUACGGGACGCAGCAGUGAGGAAUAUUGGUCAAUGGGCGGAAGCCUGAACCAGCCACGUCGCGUGAGGGAAUAAGGCCCUACGGGUCGUAAACCUCUUUUGCCGGGGAGCAAGGGCGGGGACGUGUCCCGGCCCGGAGAGUACCCGGAGAAAAAGCAUCGGCUAACUCCGUGCCAGCAGCCGCGGUAAUACGGAGGAUGCGAGCGUUAUCCGGAUUUAUUGGGUUUAAAGGGUGCGUAGGCGGGCUUUUAAGUCAGCGGUAAAAAUUCGGGUCUCAACCCCGUCCGGUCGUUGAAACUG